GCGGGUGUAGCUCAGUGGUAAAGCACAUGCUUAGCAUGCACACGGUCCUGGGUUCAAUCCCCAGUACCUCCA
rnacentral:tRNA from 1 species